rnacentral:rRNA from 1 species
UGGGGAAUAUUGGGCAAUGGGCGAAAGCCUGACCAGCCACGCCGCGUGAGUGAUGAAGGCCUUCGGGUCGUAAAGCUCUGUGGGGAGGGACGAACAAGCCUGGUGCUAAUAUCACCGGGCCCUGACGGUACCUCCUUAGCAAGCACCGGCUAACCCUGUGCCAGCAGCCGCGGUAAUACAGGGGGUGCAAACGUUGCUCGGAAUCAUUGGGCGUAAAGCGCACGUAGGCGGUUCGUUAUGUCGGAUGUGAAAGCCCUCGGCUUAACUGAGGAAGUGCAUCCGAAACUGGCGAGCUAGAGUACUAAAGAGGGUCGCGGAAUUCCCGGUGUAGAGGUGAAAUUCGUAGAUAUCGGGAGGAACACCGGUGGCGAAGGCGGCGACCUGGGUAGAUACUGACGCUGAGGUGCGAAAGCGUGGGGAGCAAACAGG